CCUUCGAACACCGAAGUGGAGAAGGGCUCCGUGCCAACGGUGGUCGAGCACGGGUCAGUCGGUCCUAAGAAGCGGGCGAAAGCUUCCACGAAAGGCGCUGUAUCCGUCGCAACGGCGGUCGAGGGAUCG